rnacentral:sRNA from 1 species
AUAUGUGGGAAAAAAA